GUCGAACCAUUCUCUGGGAUCUUGGCCUAGAACCCGUGGAUCUAGUUCCGUCCUUGCAACGGACUAUUAUUUAGAUGGUAACAUAAAGUUCUGGAUCGACAGUUCAUGGUUGUGGGGCAUUUUAGUUACAGUUCAGGAUACUCAGUUUCCUACUGCCUCCGUGUAAUGUAGCACAGUACGAUACUUCAGCACCUAACAUACCUAAUUCCUGAGUGUUGGCUCAGGAUUUUUAUUUUUAUUUUCAUGCAGUCCUGCCAAACAUUAUGUAAUACUCAAGAUUAGUUAUAUUUGGAUGGACUCAACUGUAUUGGUAGAGGUUGAUAGUUUGAUGGAUUUUGUGAUAAUCUUGGGUUAUACUGCUAUAGCACUUUGUUGGUUAUAUGAUUCAUAUUCU
rnacentral:lncRNA from 1 species